ACGUCACAGAUUAAUUUCUCUCUCAGCGGAUGGCUGCUGCAACAUAUUGUAAUACUUUAUUAUUGCUUUUUAUAGCAAAAUAUAAUAUAAAGUAUAUAAAAAUGUUAUCAGCACGAUGGUAUAAAACUGUACAUUUCUAGUCUGUUACCACCCACUGCCACUUAUACCAACGACGGAAAUAAGCGCAGUUACAAUAGCUAAAUAUGUGGGAGAGCGUUGCUAUUAAGUGACUAUAUUGUAUUGCAAUAGGUAGCACUUCAAAGUUAAUAUUGAAUCAAGAUUAGUUAGCACAUAAUUAAUAAUUGAAAUGGUUUAAUAACAAUAUUUUGUUAUGGUUACACUUGAAUUGGUUACAAAAUAGAUGAAGGAUAGUAAAACAUAUAGUUAAUUGUACCUAACAUGUAUGUAAAAUAUUACCUGAGAGAGAAAGAGAGAGGGGAAGAUGGAAAGAGGGAGAAAAAAUAGGGAGAGAGGGCAGAGCCCUGAGAAGAGAGCUCCAGCAAAGAAAAGCCAGCAGAGAGAAAGAGACAGAGCAACAUUUACAGUCUUCUUUUAUCCCUUCCUUGACCAUGUGACUGAAACCCAAAUGUGAGACAUUCAAACUGACCAAUCAGCAGACUACAGCUUCACCCACUGUGCAAAAGGUGUGACAAUUAGCAGACCCCCGAUGUAUAAACAUGUUGGCCUACAGGCCUUGAUCGAUAUCAGCAAUUCUGUGUCUUCAGGAAUGCCAAAUGGCCCUUUUGUUACUCAAAAUAGUUUGGGACAGGAAAACAGAAGUCUUUGAUAAUUUUUGACCCUACAGUUCCCCCCUUGGCACCGUUGGCCACACCUAAAGAGGCAAAAGGUGACACAGUCCAUAGAAAUAUGAUUUCUGUUGUGUGCAGAUGUCAUCUUCAGACUUCUGGUCCAGACGUGUUGCAGUUGCAGCUGGUCAGUCUUUGUUCUCCUUUCAGCCCUGUGUGAGAGAUCUUCAUCAGAUGGUGUUGCAUCCUUAUAUGCAAAUCGUCCAUCGAAUACUUCACACCUCCACAAGAGCAGGCACUGAAGUGGGGUAGAACCCCAGUGUUCCUCUUUCUGAAGCAGGACACGGGAUGUGAACUUAUGCAGCAGGGAUCAUGUGAUUUAAAAAGAACAUAUGGCACAACAAACAGCAAAAAUAACAUGGCAUUUAGCAUUGGUCAGACAUUUGAUGUGGUCAGAUUGAAUUUGUCUCUGGCAAAAGGCCCUUAAAUUGAUGUACUUAAAAAGAUGGUCAAGGUGAGAACAAAAGAUGAUCUUAAAAGCUCUUAAACUGUUUUUGGAAACAUAAAAAUAAUUAAUAAUAAUAAUAAUAAUAAUAAAAAAUAAUAACUAUUGUUAACACCCCCUUCAUCAGUAAGAGUAUCAGCAAAUAUUCAGUGUGACCAAAUACAGAAAUUAAAAUGUUCAAAAACAAUCAUUGUUGCAACUGAAAUGAACAACAUACAAAGAAACAGAAAUCAAAUUAAUUACAUGACAUAUCAAUGAAAAUGUUUGUACUUAGGGAAGAAUGAGAAAUACUAAUUUACAUCUCAAACUUGAGGAACAAACUAAGUGAUUAGGUAAACCCAAAGAAAA
ensembl:lncRNA